UAAGUAGGACAAAUGAUCGCGGCCGUACCCGGUACGGCUGAGGAAAGUCCGGGCUCCAUAGGGCAGGAUGCCGGAUAACGUCCGGUGGAGGCGACUCCAAGGCCAGUGCAACAGAAAAUAAACCGCCUCGGAUUUAUUCCGGGGGAAGGGUGGAAUGGCAGUGUAAGAGACUACCGCCGUCCCGGUAACGGGACGGGCUGUGUAAACCCCAUCCGGAGCAAGACCAAACAGAGAGCGACAGAUCGGCCCGAUCUGCUUUCAGGUAGGUUGCUGGAGCGUCCCGGCAACGGGACGUCGAGAUAGAUGAUCAUUCACGACAUAACCCGGCUUAUCGUUCUGCUUAUUUU
rnacentral:RNase_P_RNA from 1 species